AGCGAACGCUGGCGGCAGGCCUAACACAUGCAAGUCGAACGGCAGCACAGAGGAGCUUGCUCCUUGGGUGGCGAGUGGCGGACGGGUGAGGAAUACAUCGGAAUCUACUCUGUCGUGGGGGAUAACGUAGGGAAACUUACGCUAAUACCGCAUACGACCUACGGGUGAAAGCAGGGGACCUUCGGGCCUUGCGCGAUUGAAUGAGCCGAUGUCGGAUUAGCUAGUUGGCGGGGUAAAGGCCCACCAAGGCGACGAUCCGUAGCUGGUCUGAGGGGUUGAUAAGCCACACUGGAACUGAGGAACGGUCCAGACUCCUACGGGAGGCAGCAGUGGGGAAUAUUGGACAAUUGGCGCAAGCCUGAUCCAGCCAUACCGCGUGGGUGAAGAAGGCCUUCGGGUUGUAAAGCCCUUUUGUUGGGAAAGAAAUCCAGCUGGCUAAUACCCGGUUGGGAUGACGGUACCCAAAGAAUAAGCACCGGCUAACUUCGUGCCAGCAGCCGCAGUAA
rnacentral:rRNA from 1 species